rnacentral:lncRNA from 1 species
CGGAACAUUAAUUACAUGCACCAACCUGUUAGGCCAUAGACGUCGAUACUCAGCUACUCGACGUCUACAUGGCGACUAUUCACCUUCCUGGCACAACUACAUACGUUUUUGGUUCCUUGGCGACGUCUAAAGACAUAUAUAGACAUCGGUAUGGUCGUAUCCGACGUCCAUAUGGCGACUAUUCACCUUCCUGCAGACCUUUUAGACGUCCAUGUGGAGUGUGC